rnacentral:rRNA from 1 species
GUCCACGCCCUAAACGAUGUCAACUGGUUGUUGGGUCUUCACUGACUCAGUAACGAAGCUAACGCGUGAAGUUGACCGCCUGGGGAGUACGGCAGCAAGGUUGAAACUCAAAGGAAUUGACGGGGACCCGCACAAGCGGUGGAUGAUGUGGUUUAAUUCGAUGCAACGCGAAAACCUUACCCACCUUUGACAUGUACGGAAUCCUUUAGAGAUAGAGGAGUGCUCGAAAGAGAGCCGUAACACAGGUGCUGCAUGGCUGUCGU